rnacentral:rRNA from 1 species
ACGAACGCUGGCGGCGUGCUUAACACAUGCAAGUCGAACGGAAAGGCCCCCUUGUGGGGUACUCGAGUGGCGAACGGGUGAGUAACACGUGAGUAACCUACCCUUGACUUUGGGAUAACUUCAGGAAACUGGGGCUAAUACCGGAUAGGAGCUCCUGCUGCAUGGUGGGGGUUGGAAAGUUUCGGCGGUUGGGGAUGGACUCGCGGCUUAUCAGCUUGUUGGUGGGGUAGUGGCUCACCAAGGCUUUGACGGGUAGCCGGCCUGAGAGGGUGACCGGCCACAUUGGGACUGAGAUACGGCCCAGACUCCUACGGGAGGCAGCAGUGGGGAAUAUUGCACAAUGGGCGGAAGCCUGAUGCAGCAACGCCGCGUGCGGGAUGACGGCCUUCGGGUUGUAAACCGCUUUCGCCUGUGACGAAGCGUGAGUGACGGUAAUGGAUAAAGAAGCACCGGCUAACUACGUG